GUCCCCUCUGGGUUGCUGUUGUUUGGUUUAGUGUUAAAAAAUGAGCCUUGUUCUCUGCAGGUGUAGGGACUUCCCCAGGGAUGAGGAAUUGAGGAAUCCCCGAGCUCCAGGGGCUGUGCCACCGACAUUCCUGCCACCACCGAGGGGGAUGCUCCGGGUGGAGCCGCCGGCUUGCUGCCACGCAGCAGCUGUAGGAAGUUAGAGGAGCCUUGGGGCUAUUCUGGGAAACACUGAGGGAGAUUCCCGAGGUUUCCAGAGCAGAAAACUGGCUCAGAGCUGCCUGCCUCCAUGCCAGACAGGGAUGAUGUAGAGCUGGGCGCGGAGCCCUGCAGAGAAGGAUGUUUGACUGACGAAUCAAUGGGAUCCUGUGGAGCUAUGCAGAGUCAGGGACCACCAAGAGGGGUGCUGGAGGGCCUGGCCCUGUGCUUGUGGACUGCUCAGCAGGCUGCAGCUGAGAUCCACAUCCCUGGUAUGGCACAGCAGGCUCCCUCAGGAUACUGGCAUGCCCCUCACAUGGCACUGUGUGUGGGGCCCAUGGCUUAUAUGGGACAGGGGGUGUAGGAUAUCACCUGCCUGUCCCCUGGGUUGGAGAGAAGGUGCUUGUUGCAUUGUCUUGAUGGGUUCAAAGGUAGUAAAAUUGCUCAUCCCUCGUGCCAAUCCCAUGGAGCAAAAACCUUGCUAAAAGAGAGACUAAAAGCCACAUGUGCAAUGCUGUGUCUUCCACAUGAGCACAUACAGGUGUGGAAAACACCGGGUCCAGAACCUCCUUGGUAACUUCAGGUCUGGUGAAGCUGUGCUUCCUUAGCUCUACAUGAAAGCCACCUUUUGUUUCCAAAGCCACCUUUCCUUUAAGUCCUGGUCAUGAAAGGAAGCUCCAGCUCGGUGGGCAGUGUUGUGUUACUCAAGCAAGUGUUUAGAGAGUGGCAUGUCCUUGGGGACAGUGGUGCCUUUAUUCCGGGGGACACAUCCAGACCUGUGCACCCCUCCUGUGCCACAGGCCAAAUACCAAGUUCUCUGACUGAGCACCCCUCCUCCCCUUUAUCAAUAAUUUUAAUCGUUUUAAUAAUGUCCCCUUGCACGGAUAGGAUUACGAUUAGAAAACGUCAGAGCCUUGUUAUCAUCUAAUUAGAGUCACAUUUCAGCAGAAUAGAAAGGAAAAUCUUCAAGCGCUGCCUUGUGCAGUGAAAUGGGAAGAAAGUGCUGAUUUGAAGCAGCUGCGGGCCGGGCGCGGCUGCAGUCCCGGCUGGGAGCAGGGCACGGCGCAGGACAUGGCAGCGGGCCUGGGCAGAGCCCUCGGUGCAAUCAGUGCAAACUGCUCCCAGAUCACUUUCGCAGAGCGAAAAACUCCGGCGCAGUCCAGUAAAAACAAUCAGGCUGUCAAGUUUGCCGGCUAACAGCUGAGGGGGUCAGAGCAGCAACACAACACAAACCAAAAUAAACACCACCUCACUCUGCCAAAAAGCCUUUAUCACUCUUCUGGGAGAGAGGGAGGCACUUUCAGAUGGGUUUAACUUUUCCCUUUUUUUGGUUGUUUGUUUUUGUAUGCUUAAAUGUGAGCUGAGAGUUAGGAUCUCUUUCCGCCCUUCCCCUAAUGCCAUUAUGGCAGGCCGAGGUACUCUUAGGAGAGCCUCUUUGUUUGCCUUUUGCAGGAGGAGGCUGGAAAGGCAGAGGGGAGAGUGGGUGUGCUUAACCCCUUGGAAGCUGCCUGGGGGUUUGCUUUGGCUUAGCUCAUCCUUGGACCUUUGCAGCACAGCAUCCCAUUUGGGGAGGAGGUUGUGUGGCUGCGGUGAGGGGCAGGGCUCUGAUGGUGCUGGAGGAUCCACGUCUGGGUGGGAUUUGCAGUGGCACUGUGCCUGCUGGAGGGGAGUCUCAGCUCCUGCAGGCCUAAUGACCCCGAGGGCUGCAGCAAUGCAGGAGUGGCACUGCAAUGUUAGGGCUCAAAUGAGCAUUCACAAGUGCCAUGGCUGCAGGGAGAGUGAUGCAUGCCCUGGCUGCUCGGUCCCUCCACGCAGAGCCCCUUUGGCUGCCCGCCCCUGGGAUCUGCACAUCAGUCUGCCCAGGGAGCUCAUGUCUGGUAGCUGAGCAGGGAGCUGUAAAACCCAAACCUUCUGCAGCCUCUGUGAUCCUGAGCUGGGGAUUGUGGUCCUGCUGUCAUCCCAGUGGGACAAGCAGAACUGGCUGCGCUUGGCCAGAUCACAGGGUAGAGGAAGAAAAAUGGAGUCUUUCUCUCAAAACUAAUGCCUGCUUGUGCCUCAUCCCACUCUGUAGGGAUAGAACCAUGUCAGGCUGGAAAAGACCUCCCAGUUCAUCCAGCCAAACGAAACCCAAGGGAUAAACCCUUUGCAGCCACAUUACCGUGCUUGGCUCUGGGGGAGCAGCCAUGGUUCUCCCAUGGGUUUAGCAGCAUAAAUGCCUCCAAGGGUCUGGGCUUAACCACCCUCCUUAGGGCCAAAAGGGUCUUCCCCCUGUGAUUCCUGCCUUUGGGAGCCUGCUGAAGGAGCAGGAGGACUGUGGCCACCUGCUGUUGUGGUGCUUGCCUGAGGCUGGCCCACCUUACACCAGCAUUUUGUGCUGGGAACACCUGCUGUGCAGAGGGGGCCGGACCCCAGCGCUGACCAGCCCCACAUAAUAAAUAACCACGGCAAAAAUAGCUAUCACUUAAAUAGCACUUUACAUCCUCAGGAUGCUGUAAAACCCCAAAUGCUUAAUCACAAGCAGCUCUCUUGAUGUUUAGAGUGAGCUGAUAUUUUUGGUCUCGGAGGAGAAUGUAUUUUCUGGUGCCAAGAGCUACAGUGGGCUGUGUCAGCAGCUCCUCCGGGAGCAGGACAGGGCCACAGCAGAGGCAAUUAAAGCUCAGGUGUUACACCAGCACAUUGGAGUGACCCAGCCCGUGGCAGGGACUGGUUGUGAGCCAGCACCCAGCACUGAGCUCUGCCUCCCCCCUGCCACUGCUCUGCAGCCAUCUACAGAACUCCUGACAUUUUGGGAUUUGCUAUAUUUAAACGGGCGGACAGUUUAGCCCUGGCCAGGAAGCCACCUCUGACAGUGAUGGCUAUUGAGAGUGGCACCGGGCUGCCCCCGCUGUGCCAGGGGCCAGCAGUGCCAUUUCUGCCAGGCACAGCUCCCCCUUCCCAAUUAGAGGUGCUGCUAAUUUUAAACGAGCUGCUGCCACCAAGUAGGAGCACUUAAAAUAUCAUCCAGCCAAAGUGCCUGUGGUGAGAGCUGAGGGUUGAGUGUGAAGUGGAAGCUCUGGUUCCUGAUAUUUCAGGGCAGGGAGAGCUGUACCCCUCUGCCUGCUGGAAUGGGCAGGCUUGGGAAAGGAGAAUUUUCUUUGGGUCUAUGUUUUCCAGAACUUGGGGAGGGAGAGGGAGGUUACUUUAAUCAAAGUGAAAACUAGCUCUGAUUUCAUUUUAAAACUUGUGAAAACGUUUAAUUUGACCUGAUGCAAAGUGUUGCGUUUCAUUUUGCAUUUUAAUUAAUUUUGUGAUCUUCUAAUUAGACUAAUUUCAAAGAAAAAAGUGUUUCUCUCAAAACUGGAAGUCAGAAGAUUUUGAAGAUCAUUUUUGGCUCUGAAACACUGCUUAAAAGCGUCAAAGAUGCUUUCUAGAAACCCAGGUUAAUUCCUGCCUUUAAAGAGUUUGCAAAUGUCGUGGGAGUUAAACCUAAGGAGUGCUUUUAAAAAGGACCCUUUUUCCUCAGAAAGUGAGCACUGCUGCCUGUGAUCCUGCGAUGAAAGAGGAGAGGGUCUCUUCUCAGACCUUUCCUGCUCCUGAAAAAAUUCAGGGCAGUUGUGGGUGUAGAGGGAGCUGGAGCCCAUCACUGGCCAAGGCCCUCAUGACUUUAGGAAACCCCAGCAAUGGCAAAAUCUCACACUGCCUGAGUCACUGCUCUUAAAGGAACACAACAAAGGACCUGGGAUGGAUAUUUCCCACUGAAGAGGCUUCUGUUCCCCCAUGUUGUUUAGCUGCCUCAGUGGGCAGUUUGAGGAUGAGUCCACCUGGAGAGCCUUCGACUCAGUAGCCAGAGGGCUGAGCCUCCACCAGCUCCAGCUUCAAGCCCUGCUGGCACUGUGAGUAUCCAAGGUCAUCUGACAUUGCUCAGAUCUUAGUUUUGCUUUAAUGCAUCACUUUUCCCAGUCAAUUAACAAAACAGAAUCACGGAUUUUAAAAUGCAUACAUGUUUACAAAGUAUUAUAGCCAGCAACUCCCACUCUGAGGUCCCAUGGGUUUCCUUGAGCUGUAUGGGCACACCUAAGCUCAAUGCAAUCCUAGAGGAAAAAAUAUUUCUUUAGAGAAAAGUGUUUAAAAUGUCAGUGGAUGGCUGUAGCUGCAGCAUGGGCUCAGGGGACAGGUGCUCAGCUGCUGCUCUGCCACUGGCCCUCAUCACACCAGACUUACCUGUAUGAGGGAGACCAUGCUGAGCCUUAAAUGAGGAACUUGCUUGUCUGCUGACCAUCAUCAGGGCUUCUCCAAAAGAGUCCUCUGCCCUGUAGAGAUAAGUAUGUGUCACCCUGGAAUAUUGUUCCCUGCCCAGUGCUCCACCAAGGCAGCUCCAGCCUCCUCCAGGUGCUCCUUAACUUGUGCUGGGUGUCAUCUCCUCAGGCUCCAGGGACUGGUGGCAUCCACCUGCCUGAUGCUGAUGCAGGAGAACAGGCUCACGUAGGUGCAGCCAGAUGCAACCUCCAGCUCCAUCGUAGCCAUAGCUCCCAUGUAAAAACCUGCAGGUGUGGGACAAAGGUGCCAUCCUAGGGCAGAAGGACCCUUGGCUGAUGCUGAUCCCUUAAGAUGAGGGGAAGCUUUGGGAAACUAAAAAUCCUUUGGGAAUUUGGCAACACCUUCACCCCCUGUGGAAGCUGUCACAGGGCUGUUCCUUUUCCUGGAGCCCUGUUGGUGUUUCACUUCUAUUAACUUCAGUUUUUAAUUGGAUUGUGGGUGUCCAUCGAAAUUCAUCCAUUUCUGACACUUGGGAAGCUGACAAUGGAGGAGCUGCCUGCUGUUGUACAUCACUUUUUGUACAUUGUAUUGAAAGGACAAAACGGGUACCAGAUACCUCAACUUCUUUUGGGAAGUUCAGACUGCAGUUUGGAAAGUGUUAGGGUUGCAUUAGCAGGAGGUAAUUUUAUGCAGCAUGACAGGGGCACUCAAACUCUGACCCUCGAUGGGCACAGAGCAGGGCUUUACUGAGCGGGCGUGCCCUUGGAUUGACUCAGCUGGUGGGAAUGUGUUUCCCUGUACCACUGACCUGCUCCGAGCCACCCCCAGAGCCUUUUCUCCAUGUCAGUAUUCCUGGGUGUAUUUUCUCUGCUCGGUGAUUACAAGUCAGCACUCUGAGGCUGCAGAACAAAACACUUUCCUUGAGGAUGGCAUUUGCAUUUGAAAGGCACGAUGGCUGUUCCAGGGACUUCACUACUUCACUAACUUCUUCUGUACAGUCUCCUGGCUCCGUUCUCACAGUGCUUAAUUUGGGGCUCCAUGCUCUGAUCCCAGCGACCUGCAUCUGGCUCGAAGCCAGCCUUAAUUGCCCUGUCUCAGGGUGGUUGGGAGAGCCAUCCAGCUCCAGCACAAAUUACAGUGCUCUGAGGACAGCUGCAAUUUCUGUCCUGCUGCCCCCAGUUCCUGGGAACUCUCCUGGCAAUCAGCAAAUGAUGUGACUCACGUUCAAAGAAGCCAGAUCCACUCCAGCCUAGCAUGAUAUUUUGAUUAGUAAGAGGCUGGCAUAAGAGCCGAGUGGUUCCUGUGUGUGUGACAGGCUGUGAGCGUUAUUCCCCCACUGCACCAGGCUCCUGCUCGCUGCUGUAGCUUUGGGCAGUGAGUAAGGACCAAGUUGGGGUGCACACUUGCCCCUCACCUUCCCUGCGAUGGGAUGAGGAGCUCCUGCUGGCCAGCCAUGCCAACAGGACACUCACAGCCCUGCUCUCCCUGCACGACUGGGCCCUGGGGCAGGUUUGGUGAUGCAAGCAGAGCUUUGGUGGCAAAUCUGUGUAACCCAGCCCUGCCUAGACCUUCUUUUCUUUGCACAAAAAUUCUACAGCUGGAAGUCAGGCUUUGUUUGUCCAGAAACCCAGGCAGUUUGCAGGAGAGUGACUUAGGUCCCCAGAUGUGUAGGUGAGAUGGUAAAUUGCAAAUGCUCACACCUAUAAAUGUGUGUGUGAGCUGGGGCGUGCUCAGAAAUGCUCACUUUUAUCAGCUCUACCUACUUCUGGAGAAGCCUGGUUAAUUUAUCAACUGAGAAGCUCCAUCUAGCUAAAAGUCUCAUUUCCAUAUUCUUUCCAGAUGGUCAAGAUGCCACAGAGACAGUUUCUAAGUAAAUAACUUGCUUCCUCAUGCAACCCACUGCCAGCCUCCCAAGUAGCUGCCCCAGAUGGCUGGAGCAUCCGAGAGGCACCUGGCUUGUGAAAGAAACUGCCGAGUCGCAUGAAUUAUAGAUGCGGGGUGGCUGCGGCUCGGUCCAGCAAAUUCUCUGUUUGCAGCCCGGAUCUGGGAUGGAGAACUGCUGGGAAGUCACAGUGCCCUGUCCCGCGUGGGUCCAGCCAGCCGGGCGUGCUUUGGUGGCACUCGGGGUGCGGAUGCCCCGUGGCUGGGCUGGGGUGCGGCAGCUCCUGCUCCUCACGGCUGCUCUUUGCACCGCCGGCUGAUCGCGAGUUACAACCGAAAGGUUAAAAGCAUUUAAUUAUGUUGAUGCUUUCCCAGCGGAUUAAACAAGAGGAUAAAUAGACUACAGCGUGUUAUUUUGGAUUUGAUUUUGUUUUUUAAACAAGGGGAGGGAGGCGGGAGGCUGCGGCUCCUUGGCAGCUGUCACACGUUCUGCUUUUGAUGGUGUCAGUUGUGUCUGUGAGGAGGUGUUUCUCUUGCCACUGUCAGCAUUUUCCGGGGGAGGCUGAAUUCAUUGAUACAGUCUGUUUGCUGUCCACAUAUUCACAGUUCAUGUGUUACAUUUUACAUAAAGUAAACUUAGCGAGGGGAAAACCUAUUCUGCAAUUCUUCAAAGCUAAUGCACACUAAAUAUAUUCUGACACUGACAGGUAUUUCUUAUUAAAUAGCUCUGAACUGCAGUACCAGGUUUUGCUUAAGUGGCAUUAUUCUCCCUGAGCAAAGACAGUUCAUUUAUUAGUCAUUCUGAAAACCAAAUAACAAAUAUUAUUCUCUAAGCAAACUAAACAAACCAUUUAAAAGGGGCCUGUCUGAAAUGAUUAAAGUACAGUGUCUGAAAAGCAGCUGACAUUUUAGUGCCAAAAUACCAUAUGGAGGCUCAAGUGCUUUAUUAACAUCCUUUGACCUAAGCUGCAAAAUCUCCCAACACCUUUGAGCGUGGCGGAGCUGCCUUCCUGCAUGCAAGGGAGAGCGCAGAGGCAAAUCUUCCUGCCAGUUCUUCAGAUGUCAUUUUGGCACACGGAAAAGCGAGGUGCAAUAAUUGAGGGGCUGGAUGCAAGCAGGUCUCUUUUCGAUUUCUGCCAGAGAUACAGCGUAAAAUAAUUCAACAAAGCUGAAAGCGCAGGCUUUUCACUUAUGCCAUAAAAAAUAAAUAUAUAGUGUUUUUCUUUUUUUCUUACAGCUCUCUCUUUUUCUCCUAACUAAAUAUUUCCUUUCUUCUAAGCAUCAGACAUUAUUUCUAGCUUUCAGGCGUGCAAAGUAAAAGAGCACGUGCACUGAUAUAUAUUUAUUUAUGGUCUACAUGGAGCUGCCUUUGUGUAUCCCCAGCUCUGCUCUGAAGAUUUCCUUCACAAGUAGGAAAACAAUUUUGUGCUGCAGGUCAGACAGAAUAACUGAUACCACUGUUUACAGAUCUGCGCUCACUGGAGAAGCUUAUUAAGCCACAGUUGGGUAAGGAAAAGCCUGUUCAUCCACACUGGGAUGAUAAAGCUGUGGGUAAGGGCUUACGUGGCCGCUGCGCCAGGCGCCGGUGGGAAGGGCCCCGUGAGCACCAGGGAGUCACUGGAUGCCAGGAGGAGAUGCUCGCCAAAGGAGCCGCUUGGACAACCUGUUGUAACAUCAUUCAGUCAAUUGUUCUCAGCCCGUUCCAUCUGUAAAAUGCUUGGGAUCUGACCUAGUUUGUUUUUUUUUUUUUUUUUUUUUUUAAACAAAUGCUUUCAUUAUUAAUAAGAGUUUAUCAGAUAGUGAGAGGAAAUAAGUUUUAGCCUGAGGUCUGCUCAUGAAACAUCUCCUGUGAGCACAUCCUUGCUGGCUCUGAAGCUGGGCAGCUUGACUUGGCAAGGAUCAAAAUAAUAUAAAACUUACGCGAAGAGUUUAAUAAAAAACCUGCAGAUACUGAGCUGAUGUAUGUUAUUAACUUGCUUCUCUGGGAUUAGGUAGGUCUGGGUAAAUGAGGAGAUAUUGGUCCAGGUUUGCUUUCUGCCGGUGUUGUCCUAGUGACAGGGGAUUACGCGCCGCUGGGGAUUAGCCUGAUGACAUGACAUCGCCGGGGUAACGAUGUACAUGCUGAUGUCACUGAAGGCAUUUGGUCAGGUCCAGAGUUUCUGGCAUGAGCUGGUGAUUCUUCCCCCCAUUAGCAUCCCGGGAAUGCCCAGCCGAGCGGCACAUCCCCAGCGCUCUGUUGUGUCCGUCGGUCCUCUCCUCUCUCUGGCAGGGGCUGUGUGAUCCCAGCAGUCACUCUCUCCUUGCUGACAAGAGUGCACAAACAGCAUUUCCAUAGCUGGCACCAGCAAGAGCUGUACCAUAGUGGGAGCAUUCGAAGUUCCUCUGUGGACACAUGAUAUGGUUCAAUAGGAUGCUUUAAAUAGCUCCUCUUUGGAGAGAGAGAGCGGGUCAGAGAGGCACAAUGGCCGUGGCUCUGUGUAGCCAUCGCCGAGUAAUGAUACGAGCAGCAGAUGUGGUUUGUGCUUUCAAAGGCACUUCUGCCGGCAGCCUGCGUUAGGGAAAAUGAAAGCUGGGCUGUUCCUGCAGCUCAUGGGGGGUGUGAGGCAUCCACAUGACACAGGGAAUAAUUGGGAUCUGGGGAAAAGCAGCAGAAUGAGCGCUGGAGAGCAGCCUGUGCCCUGGUCAUGCUGCUGCCUUCCCACAGGGGUGCCAGGUUCCUGCGGCUGGGUUCCCUCCCCACACUGGUGCCAGGCUCCCAGGCUGGUUUCUCGCCCCAAGCCGGGUGGUGGCUGCAGGUGAAGCGAUGGCCCGCGCUGGCGAACGGCGCCGGAACAGCUGCAGCUCCUGCCAGUGCUGUGAGGGAACAACUUCGCUAAUCUGACAUCGGGAGCAAAUGUUGCUAAUGAGGAGCCCAGGCUUUGGUAACCAUGGCAAUUCAUGUUCCUGAAAAUGUGAAACAAAGUCAGAGAAGGGGCCAAUCCUGCUCCCCUCUCCGCUCCAGCGCACUCUGCUCGCCGGGGAUUGCCAGAGGAACACCGGGUCCAGCAGCAGCCAGGAGUGAGGAAAGCUGGAGAGCAGCAGCAGCCUGGGGGCCUCAUCCACCCCUCACAGGAGGAGCCUACCUUGCUCUCAAAAUAUUGCCCUCCCACUGUUCACUGGAGGCCAGGCUGAGCCCCAUCAGCCUGGCACGGGGCAGAGGCUUUGGCUGCUGCCAGGACUGCUUUAGCCAUGACCCCCAGCUGGGAAAGGCAGCAGCGCUGCCAGCACGUGCUGCAUGGUCACCUCUGCCAAGUGGCAAUUCACUGUCUGCUCCUCACAGUGUCUCUAGGGCCAGCUGGGUUCCCUAUAAAUUUUUAUAGAAAAUAUAAAAUGACAUCUGGAAGCCUAUGGCAGGCAGAUAGGUUCUCAUUCUUCCUCUAAGCAGGGAAGAGCAUUGCCCUUUCUUAAUUUUUAACAAAUCUUGUUGUCGAGCUCAGUGGAGAAAAAAACCCGGUAAUUGGGUAAUCCUGUCUCCUGUUCCAGCUGCAGAGCCAUCACCAGCUCCAUACAUUUUUGGAGAAUAAACACAAAUUCCAGCCUGUGCAAUGGCCACAAAGCCAUUUGCAGAUACAGGAGCUAAAUUGCAAUGCACUGAGCCUAAAGCAAAGCCGGGGUUAAGACCAAAAAUAUAAUUUCCCAGGAUGAGGCCAGUCUCAGUUCAGUGAGCAGAUGCACCCAGGUGCAUCCCUGGGAGUCAGGACAUCCCACACGGGUGCCCUCAGAGGAACACAAAAUCCAGGCUUUGCCCAUUCCCCCGGGCAGCCAGGGUUUGCUGCGCUGCUGGUAGAGGAGGAGCAGCAGAGAGGAGCGUUCCGGUUGAUGAGGCCUUAGGGAAAUCCACUGGUAAGCGAAAAUCUCUAAAGCAAGGAGGGGUUUUGCCUUAAUUAAACUGCAGUGGGGCCACUGGUGCAGAAACCUGACAAAGCUUGGGGGAUUAUUUCAGCUCAGGAAUGCGGGAGGUGCCACAGAACCGUGGGGUUGGUGGGAGACAUCAGUCCAGGGCAGCAGCGAGCGCUGGUGCCAGUGGUGGGGAGCACAUGUGCUGCUGGGGAGUGGGGACACCCCAGUGAGGGAACAGGGCUGUCAGACAAGGCAGGAAAAUAAAAAACAAAGUGGAAAAUAGCAAAAAAAAAAAGGUAAAGCAACAAAAGUGACAACCCAUGCAGGUUUGUAACCGGAGUAAAGCUUAGAAAGAAGAUCGAUUAGGAGCCAAAAACCCCAAAACCCCAAGGCUUUGGGGCAGCCAAGGUUUCCAAUGCUGCAUAGGAUGAGGCACAGCUGCUGGCUCUCCUGCUGUGGCCCUGGUGCCUUCCUCAGGAGCUUUCUCAAAGGCAGCAGGAGCAGGGAGGGGUUUGUACGAUGCCUGUAGAGAUGUGCCCCCACUGCCUGCAGGGCCAAGGUCUCCCUCCCCAAAGAAUGGCCCUUGUUCUCUCAAGUUUUUCCCUGCUUGCCCCAUCUCCCUGCCAGCAGCACUCCUCGCUUUCUCUGCCCACCACCCUUUGCAGGAUCAAGCACGUUUCCCCAUUUCUUCUGCCCCUCUAAUCUCAAUCAUGUUUAUAGGCUUCAGGAGGCCAUUUCUGGUGGAACAGCUUAGUUUUUUAAAAUAUUCUUCUUUUUGAUGAAGUUAGGGUUUGGGAAGUCCUGGAGGACUGCCUCAAAGGAAGUGUUAGGUUUAUGUGCAGAACAACGCAAAAAAAAAUAAUAAUCUCAUUUUACUCUCUUUGGAACAAGAAUUGUCCCCUCUCUCUCCUUGGCUCCCCUCUCUCCUCAUGACUGGGAAGAGAGAAAAAGCCCCUCUUGCUGCCAGUAUGCAUUUCCAGAGCAUACUGGAAAUGUCCAGUAUUUCCAGCAUACUGGAAAGGUCCCUCCUGCAAGCUGCUGUCUUUGCUGCUGUGAGGCACCUUAAUUGUUCCUUUCUGAGUUUGGUCGUUGGGUUUUCUGGGGGUGUUUUUUGGAAAGGGGUAAUUGCAUUUCUUUAUCUUGACCUGUUACUAAUUCCCACCCAUCAGACUGUCCUGGAUCAACCUCCAUCACCUCCUGCAAAGGUGGGGAUCUGCCAUUUUGUUCUGCUGAAGAAGGAAUGGAGGAGGACGCGGGGUCCAAAGUGAAGAAUCGAAGUGAAGCAUCAAAGCAGAGAAGGCAUCAGGAAAAACCUCAGUUAGGAGGAAGAAGGCAGGGGAGGGGAGGAAGGGAGAUCUGGGCUUCAGCUGCAGCUCAGUAGGGCUGCUAGAGGUGAAAGCUCCUUCCUGGGCUUGGCCAGAAAAACAGCAAGGCUCCCAAAAAAGCAUCAGCAGAGCAGCCACCCACCCUAUUCACAUCUGGAUGCUUCACCACCACCCCACACUGCUCACAGUGAUGCUGUGCAGGGGCAUUUCUGGCAGUACCUGCAAGGGCCUGGUAGCCACAGCAAUCAGUGCUGCCUGGAGGCUUCUGGCCAUCGAGACUGGGGUCCCCCCUUGCUGUGUGUGGGAACGAGUGACCUGUGCCAGGGAUAAUGCCCCAGCCCAGGGCAGGGCUCCUGGGGCUGCUCAUCACGUUCUUACUACCCAAGCACACAUUUUGGCAAGACAUUCAGCCUCCCCUUGACUCACAGAGCUGACAGCUCUCAAGUACAUCCCAAGGAUGAAUAAAAAGCGACAGAACAGGUAGUGAUUUCUGCAGUCAGCCAGAGUCUCUGUGAAGACAGUCUCAAAACUGUCUCACUGUCUUAGUGGCCAGAGGAUGCCUGUCACAGCCACUUGACCUGUGGGCAGAUGGUUACUGUCUGUCUAACACUGUCUUUUGGGGCUUGAUAGGCACUUCUAAAAUGCAGAUAGAUGGCGAGCCCUCACUGGGGGAAGGGGGCAGUGCUUGGCAGCUGAAUGCCAGCGCUAGGAUGUGCAGGGCAGCUUGUUGGGGAGCAUGGCACGUGUCUGUUAUAGGGGGCCAACUUGAUAGCCCCCAUCUGUAUUCACCCUGAGGCUGGCAGGGCAAGGUCAGAAGGCUUUGCAGAGCAGGAUGGAAGAGCAGAACUGUCAUGGGGCUGAUGUCACCUGCUUGUGAUGUCACCACUGUCUUCUUCAGAGGAGCACUUCCAGUGAUAGCAGAGCUUCUGCAGUCUGUCUGCCAGGCUGGCACUCGCUCUGCAGAGUGUAAUUAAGGAUAUAUAUUAAUAGAUUGGGAGCCGGGGCCUGGGCAGUGUUCUUGUGUGACAGACAAAUGCAGAGACAAAGCAGACGCUCCCUUCAGAAGUCCUGCAGGAUGCUAUUAGCAGCACAAACUGCAUCCCAUUAAUGCCAUUGCUGUUAGGCAGCACCGAGUCAUUUACAUUUUAAACGAAGCUCCCAGACCAGCUCCAGUCCAGGAUCAGCUCCAGGAAACCUGCAAGACUGUGUCUGCACCUGGGGAGCCUUGGGGUGUCCAGCAAUACUCUGCAAGUGAAAACAAACAUUGCAAGGGCUCAGCUUUUGUGCUGAUUGCAAAGCCACCCCACAGAGGUGACGCAGGACAGGAACAAGAGCAUGAGGGAUGCUGGCAGGGCCCAUCUUUGCCAGGAUUUUUAUGAGGAUGGUGGAGUUAGUCUAAGUUGAUACUCCCUCAUGGGCCAUUAGUAACUUAAAUGUAGCCCAUGGGGUGCUCAGCAGGAAAAGACUCUGCCAGCUGCAUUUGCAGGGACAACUCCUGCACGUCUGCAUCACUGACAAGGAGAACAUGUUGCCCAUCUCCACUGGAACAGCUCUGAGAGCCCCGAAACUGCCAGUUUCCAAUCCCUGGCCUUGCAUGAUGGUCUUAACAAACUAUGGCAUAAAUAUGCCAGGCAAGGGAAGGCAGCCUUCACAGAGGAUUGGGAAUGUCAUGAAACAGAGAAUGUUUUUUUCAUCGCAAGGAAGAUCUACUCAUUUGAAUGGACAGUGCUGCAGAAACAAACUGUUCAGAGGUGUUGGGAGGGGAGGAGAGGGGCACUGCAGCCAAAAACCAAGGGGCUAAUUGUGUAAAGCUGGUGAGGAGAUGCCUUGGUCUGAGCCACCGGUGUGCUAAUGGGGAGGUUGCUUAGCUACAGUGUCAAUGGUACCUCAGCAGCACCAGGUAGGGGAGGGAGAGCCCAGCGUAAACAGCCAGGAGGAAGAAGGGUCAUUAAACUGUUCCCUAAAGACCCCUAACUAGUGCUGGUUGGAGGAAAUAAAUAAGGAGGAAAAGUUGGUCUGAGUGCCAGGGAGGAAGCCAAGCUGUUCAGGAGAUGGCUUGUCUGCUGCCUGAAACCGCCUCUUGUCACUAAUUUCAGCUGGAGACUUUUCCGUAGCAUGGUCUCAGCCCUCAAGCGUUCCUGGCUUUUUUGUCUCUCUUCCACUUUCCCAUUUAAUUCCUUCCCCUUGGAGGUGAAGGCUGGGAGCUCUGGUGUGAGGGGGGCUGAGGUGCCGCCGGGGGAGCAGAAGGGUGCCCAGGGAUGGGAGCGCACAUGUGUUCCCCCUUCACAUGUGCCUCAGGCCUUUCAGGAAGAGCAGCCAGGUGGCUUUAUGUGACCUUUCCUCUGUGGGCAAACAUCACCCAAGCUGACCUGAGCCUGCAGCCUGUGGUACACAUCAACAGAAAAUCACUGGAGAAGCUCUGCCUGCGUCCUGGUCCUGUCCGGCAGGGGACGGUGGGCAGGGAGAAAAUCACGGCUACUUACAGGAGAGACCUUUUAUAAUCCGCAGAAUACAAAGGACCCAAACCACCAAGAACUGCUUCCACGUGUGGCUUUG